rnacentral:lncRNA from 1 species
GCAUAAGCAUGAACAGAACUCAAAAAAAAGAUAAAUACAUAAAAGUCACCCUCAAGAACAACAACAAUAUUAUAUGUAGAACUGGCUUUUGAAUAUUAGAUACUCUCUGAAUGACGCCCAUGACUUUCAGGGCGAUUAAAAGUAAACAUCACAGUUUACAGUAAUAAAAGCUCAGAAAAACUAUUCUUACUCCUUAUGUUUUUUUUGUUGUUGUUGUUUUUUCCUAUAUUUGUUUGUCUUUGGGAUUUCUUCUGUAGAAGAGCCUGUUUUAUGUGCAAUGGGUAGUGAAGAAUUUUGCUCUCUCUCUUUUUAUAAGAUCAAAUACAGACUACAGAACUGACCAAGCAGAAAAUUGCUUUGAGAAAUUGAGUGAACUAGUCAAGAUUUCAAGAAUCAGAGAAACAGUUGUUAGUAAAAAUGUAUGUGGAAAGGAUCAUGGUAAUGGAUGGGAAUGCAGGCAUGGUGGUGUUGAUAAAGAGCAAGUACUGACAGACACAUAUCUGUAAAGCACUUCUAUAUAUUAGGGCUGUGUGCUGAGAAGAGUGUAUUCGGAGGAACAAACCCUGAUUUUUUUUUCUGGACAUAUAUUUGGAUGACUGGUAUAGGUUUUGUGUCUCCUAGUAACUGCUACUGCCAAGCAAUUAGACUUCAUUAUGUCUGUGCUUAUGCAAUACUAAUUAACAUGCCUGUUGUACUGCCUUUCUUAGGAACCAUGUGACACCCCACAGGUCUAACACCCUUUCUGAACCAACAGCUGAGGAAAUUUUCAACAUGGCAGAUUUUUAUUUUAAACAAACGUACCCAAACAGAAAUGUAAUCACACCUUUCUAAACAACUGCAAGAGCAGGAUGGGCUCUACAAUUAGUGGUUCUGCACUAAAUUGUAGUGGUUGAGAAAAUAGAAGAGACUGGAGAUGAUUCAAGCAUAUGUGUGCAAAUGAUUAGACCUUGGGUCAAGGAUUUAGAAGCAUAUUAGUAGUGUAUUCCCACAGAGAAACAUCAUUUGCCAAGGCAAUCAGAUAUACUAAGUAAUAUCACUGAAAAAGUUCAAAAGAAAGUGUUCAAUCUCUCCAUAUCAUCAUAGUGAACCUGUGUGUUGCCUUAUUAUGUAACAUAUACAUGCUAUAAAUGGAAGAGUCUAAUCAUUGAUUUUCCAUCUUAUUUUUUCCUGAGUAGGAUAGGGAUAGUAUGCUUAAAAAAUAAGACAUAAUCAUAGCCCAUAUGGAUUAUGAAUUAUAUUUCCAAACAGCUGAAGUUAGAGGAAGACAAUACAGUCCUUGCAGAUUGAUAUACAAUUAACACUACGAUAUAGCGAUGAGCCAGCUAAUGAUAUGAGGUUGUCAGUAGACAUAUGUGACGUGAUUACAAUAUAAUUGAAGAAGAACUCAUUUACACAAUGAAUACUGAGAGAAAAAAAAAAAAACCUCAACUAAAAUAAGUGCUCUAUAAUACAAACCAAUGACCAUAUUUGUAUCUUCAUUCAAUGUCAGAAUUUAUUGAAUAACAAUAAAUCCACAAGGUUUAGUAGUUUUGGUGACUGCAAUUUGUCAUAAAAAUCACCCACAUUGAUUGACCAAGACAGAUAUAUUUUUUUUCUUUUUUCAAUUUGGAUCUUAGUUGGUUAUUUCAACUGUUAUAUCACACAGCAACUAUGUCUAUAUGUCCAUAUGCACAUAUAUGUGUUAUAGAAUGAACAUAAAUUAGACACAAGAGCUGUAGCAGAACUCAAGAGGUUUGUAAGGUAGACUGAGAAAAAGUCUGUAUUAUUGGUAACAAAGUGGACCAGUGCUUGUAAAGAUCUGCUGCUGGAAAAAGUAGGGGCAUCGGGCUUGAGAUAGAAGCUAAAGUGUUUAUCUGCCAGGUGAGAGGAUGACCAGAGUGAGGAGCAUGGAGUGCAUCAGAAGUAGAAAAUGAUGGGUCAGGCACAAACCAAAUGGCUUAAUAGAUAGACAGAUAAGAAGUUGAGUGGGUUGCAUCAACAGUAAGGACCAAAGAUGAGCCCCCAGAUGUUAAUGCAUAUACCAGGCAUCUGUGUAUAUUGGGCCUUCCAUCCCAGUAUUAGAUGCCUAUCACUUUAUGGGGUCUAUUGAAGAAGCAGGUAUAUACGUUCUGUUUUUUUGGGCAAUAAGUUCUUGGUCUCUUUGAUGUGAUGGCAAGACCCCCAUGUGUCUCGAAUUUCACUCGAGCCUAGCAAACAUGUAUGAGCAUGGAUCUCUUUCUCUUCCAGGGAUAAGUCAUUUAUCAGUCUGUGCUGGAUGGGUGAUGAUUGACUUAUGGUGCAGUUUCUGGAUCUACCCAGGGGAUGCAGUCAUCUUGGUCCCUGGAAAUGGAGUCAAAGGAUACUUAUACAUGCAGACCCCAAGGGAAAAGCACAAUUUGAAAACCCACGGUUUCAUACCAUACGGAGUAAUUUAGGAUGGAAUAUAGUGGCAUCUCAACAAUUUACACAAGUGAACUUAUGAAAACAGGACAGUGAUCAUAUAUGUAUUUUGCUAUCAGAAUCAACAACAGAGUUUUCAUGUUUGUUUCCUGAAUCACAUGGAUCUUAACACUAAAAUUUUACUGUUAAGGGCUCAAGCUGUGUCUCAGUUUGCAGAGCUUUUAGAACAUCCCUUGAUCACUUUAUUACUCAGAGUGGUGAGAAAAAGUCAUAGAAUGAGGAUGGAGAGAUGGGAAAAGACUGUCAGGGAGAUAAACCAUGGCAAUAUCUUAAGGCUAAAGGUUAGUCGCCACUCCCCUAGGGUAAAGAUACAAGGGAGCUGGGAAGAAGCCUGUGCAACAUGAGAACAAAGUACUGGGAGGCCUACAACGGAUUUGGGGAUUUGCUGAGUAAUACCCAGGAGGCUUUCAGGGCUUUAAGUGAACAGGAUACCCCAAAUGGUCAUUAUUUUCAUAGAAAAUAUAAACAACAUUAUCUUCUCUUCUAUAUUUUUGUGUUAUGACCUAUAUGUGCCUCUAAAUGAAGAGAGUAGAUCAAGCUCCCAAUUCUUCAAUAACACCCCUCCCACAUAUACACUGGACUUAUCACUGUGUUGGCAGACAUGUAAAAGACUAAGCUUGUUCCUUUAAUACAAUAGAAUAAAUGACCUGUGGACCAUCGGGUCCCCCAGUCUCUCAAGGUUUUUCACCUCAACCGCAUAUGAUUAUUUAUGCAUGUUUUAUGCAUAGUGCUAUCCAGGCUAAAGAAUACACAAUCUAGGGAUGAAAAUGAAGCAUGAUUUGUGGCUCUUAUGUCCAGAGAGCCUUAAUAGGCACUAAUCUACUGGGCAAAGCUCUUAGGAGGCCAUUAAAUUUGGGGGCAUUGAUUGUAGGAUCAAACUGCAAUCUGCUUAGAUUUUGGAAAGGAUGGGAUGCUAAAUUGAGCAAGCUCAGUGUGUCAACUUCACCGGGGAGGAAGGGGUUUUACACACGCAGUGCUCAUUGAUAGAAACUAUUAUAAAAUGAUGGAAUGUAGUGCCUUUUUUUGGAAGUGUGUGAGAGAUAGUGCCUCUUUUGUCAUCUUGUGUUAGAAUCGUCUGCCAUCUAGGAUCUGGCUAUAGAAUAUUUCACUUCUGUCUUUAGGGUCUGUAACUGUCAGCAUGUGUGUCCAGUCCACCCAUCUUUUCAACACUUCUUUAAUAGUAGAUGUCAGUAAACAAAGUCUGAGCAUUUCAGGGAAGACAAAGGAAUC